rnacentral:lncRNA from 1 species
CACUUUAAUUCAUCGGGGAAAUCAUAAUCUCAGUUAAACACGGGUUUAUCGAGAGAGUGUUCUUCGUGUUCUUGAGAUUCAAACGAAGAUUUGGAAGCGUUAUCGGACUCGGAUCUUGGCGUUAAAGUACUCAAAUCGAAGGUUUUGACGAGUAGAAUCCAAAUCUAGCAUCAGUUUAAGUGCAGAAACAUCAGGUAGGUUUGGAUUUGAGGAUUUAAAUUCGUAUUAAAUAAGCUUAAAAUAGGGCUUUGUGAUUUCGAAGUUGUUUAGGUGUUUUGAUGAUUGUAUGUUGUAGAUAAUGUUCUCCUGAUCAUUUUGGUAUAUCAUAUGUACGAUUUGGAGUUCAAUAACAUGUUCAAAACUGAGUUUUAGGUUCGAAAUUGAAGAUUAGGGUUUAUAAUUCGUUUGAACAUUUUCAAUUGAAAUUGGGGCUUUGUUAUUCUUUAAUUCUGGAUGUGAUUUGAGGUGUGAAAUAGCUCGGGCUUGUCUAGAGGAGUCGUAUGGUGCUAACAGAUGUUAUGUGGGACUCAGAAAUCGUGCAAAUCGGGGAGAGAGAAACUCGCCGGCGACGGCGAGUUUCCUCGACCGAUUAUGGCUGAUUCCGGCCACUUUUGGACUGUUUGAUGGCGGGUAUGAGUUUGUGUUGGCUUGAAGAAGUGAUCUGGAGAGUUUGGAGCAACAGGGUGACGGAUUUCGCCAUUUCCGGCGUUUGGGCGGCACCGGCUGUAAAACUUACAGUUUAGUCCCCAACAUUUUGGAGAUGGUGAAGUUUAUGCACCGAACUUUGGUUUUUGACAUUUCUUACCCCAAGGUUUUGAAAACUUACAGUUUGCACCCUGCGACAAAGUUUUGAAAACCUUACAAAAUAAACCUUUUCAAAUUAUUUUCGAAAAUUGUUUUAUUUAUUUAUUUUAAAUUGUAGAAAUAGUUUUUAAUUAUUUAUUAAUUCAAAAAUAAAUCUGAUUUAAUUUAUUAAUUAAUUUUAAUUAGUAAUUAAUUAUUAUAAUUAGUCAAUUAAUUUAAAUAUUAAUUGAUUAAUUGUUUUAAUUAAUUAUUAAUUAAUUUUAAUUGAUUUAUUAAUUAGAUUUAAUUAUUUUAAAUGAUUUUAAAAUUCCGAAAAAUAGUUUCGAGCUUUGAAAUAUUAUUCUAAAAUAUGUUUGAAGCUCGUUAAUUGAUUUCAAAUGAUUUCGGACUUGAUUUCGAGUAUCCAAAAUUGAUUAUUUAUUUAUAAAAUGAUUCUUUGACCCGUUUUAAUUCCGAAAAAUAUUCUAAAAUCCAUAUCAAAUGCCAGAAAAAUCCUUUUGACUUCAAACCUUCUUUGAAAAAUAAAUUUUAUUGAAUAUCUUAUUUGAUAUGUGUUAUAUGAUACCUGAUGGGUGUGUUACAUGCCUAUGUGAACCUUAUGUGAUUGUUUUUGACAUAUCUUUUAAACCGUAAGUCGGAUUUAAAUGAAACGAAGGGUAGUUAGGAACUCGUUACGAAGGUGUGAUGAUAAGAAUAGUAUGAGAUCAUAUAUUGAUAGAUGAUUGUUGUGAUUAGCAGAGAAGCGAGACGUAGAAAGGGAAAGCAAGUGGUGAUAGAGUAGUACAGCGAGCAAGCGUAAUUGAAACUUGAGAUCAGCUAUAUAAGGCAAGUGCUCUGAAACUUUUCUUCAAUUAUAUAUUGUAUCUAUUGUGAUUAUUUAGUGAACCUUCUGAUUAAGCUCUGUGACCUAUUGAAUUAUAGUAUGGAUUAUCAUCCUAUUGAUUCUUGAACCUUCCACCAGAUUCCUUAAAUUAUAAUACGGAUUAUUUACUUAUUGAUUCUUGAACCUUUGACCCAAUUCUUUAAUACUUGCUAUGGAACCUACUUCAAUUGUAAUCCUUCAAUCUUUAAAACUUCUAAAUGAUUACCAUAAGAACCAAAUUUCAUUUCAAGAACAUACCCUUGAUACCUCAACCAGUUAUCAAUCACACAUCUUUCAGACCUUAACCAGUGAUCAACCCCAAAUAACAUCUGUUAUGGCUUAUACCUUACAGUUGAUUGAUUCUUUCCAUAAACUCCAGUUUCUUGAUCUCAAACGCAUUCAUUUAUACUUGGAUUCUUUUUGUGAACCUAGAACCCCUUUUCAGAUAAACACUAAACUUUGAUAUGCUUUGCCAUCUUAUGAGGCAAUGUUUGAUUCUUUGCUAAACCAUGAAGUUAUGUAUCAUUCCUCCUUUGAGAUCCAUCUGAGACACUUUGAAUAGUAGUCUGCUUCUGCUUCAAAUUUUAAUUAUGAUGUUGAUGUUUUUAUUUUGUUGAAUAAUAUUGUUGAUCAUCUUGAUUGUGAUAGAAUUGGAUAGUUUUCUAAACUUGGACCAAAUGAAUGGUCAGACCAGAUGAGUGGUCGCUUUAGGCCAAUGUGUGCCUUGGAUCCAGUAAACGAGCAUGGUGGGACCUGCUCGGGGUUAGUGUCUGACUGAUCAGCAGCCUAACCUUUGAUUUUUAAAAAAAUAAAUUUAAUAUCCAAUUCUAAUUGAUAUCCUAACAACAAAUCUUGAUAUUGAGAUUGAUUCCAUUAGACAUUGGUUCCCUUCAGCUUAUGAUUAAUAUUUUAUAUUGAUAUGGUUAUACUUGCUGAGCUUGGUAGCUCACUCUUGCGAUACUUUAUGUUCUUUCCAGUGAAGGCAGAGAAAGUUGGUAGCGAGGACCCUCAGGCUAGUAGUAAGGCCAGGAUUCCAGGCUGAGAGAUGGAGAGAGCUGUCAGCAGCACUUGGCUUUUUAUUUAUGUACUAGUUUGAAUAACGAGACACAAAUGAUGUGUAAGCUUGUAAGAAUUAAGUUUCUAUUUUGGGAUUUGGGUUUGUAAUAAUUAAAGUGAUGUUGUGG